rnacentral:rRNA from 1 species
GGGCUUGACAUCCCACGAACCUGGCAGAAACGUCGGGGUGCCCGCAAGGGAGCGCGGAGACAGGUGGUGCAUGGCUGUCGUCAGCUCGUGUCGUGAGAUGUUGGAUUAAGUUCCGCAACGAGCGCAACCCUCGGAAGCUGUUGCCAGCGGGUGAUGCCGGGCACUCAGCUUCAACUGCCGCAGCAAUGUGGAGGAAGGUGGGGACGACGUCAAGUCAGCAUGCCCCGGACGCCCUGGGCGACACACAUGCUACAAUCCAGGGGGCAAACGGUCGCGAACCCGCGAGGGGGAGCUAAUCCGCCAAGCCCCUGGUCAGUGCGGAUGGCAGGCUGCAACUCGCCUGCCUGAAGUCGGAAUCGCUAGUAACCGUCGGUCAGCAGUACGACGGUGAAUACGUUCCCGGGCCUUGUACACACCGCCCGUCACAUCACGAAAGCCGGCUGUACUCGAAGUCGCUGAG